rnacentral:rRNA from 1 species
AUAUUCUGUAGCAAGGUUAACCGUAUAGGGGAGCCGGAGGGAAACCGAGUCUUAACCGGGCGUUAAGUUGCAGGGUAUAGACCCGAAACCCGGUGAUCUAGCCAUGGGCAGGUUGAAGGUUGGGUAACACUAACUGGAGGACCGAACCGACUAAUGUUGAAAAAUUAGCGGAUGACCUGUGGCUGGGGGUGAAAGGCCAAUCAAACCGGGAGAUAGCUGGUUCUCCCCGAAAGCUAUUUAGGUAGCGCCUCGUGAAUUCAUCUCCGGGGGUAGAGCACUGUUUCGGCUAGGGGGCCAUCCCGGCUUACCAACCCGAUGCAAACUGCGAAUACCGGAGAAUGUUAUCACGGGAGACACACGGCGGGUGCUAACGUCCGUCGUGAAGAGGGAAACAACCCAGACCGCCAGCUAAGGUCCCAAAGUCAUGGUUAAGUGGGAAACGAUGUGGGAAGGCCCAGACAGCCAGGAUGUUGGCUUAGAAGCAGCCAUCAUUUAAAGAAAGCGUAAUAGCUCACUGGUCGAGUCGGCCUGCGCGGAAGAUGUAACGGGGCUAAACCAUGCACCGAAGCUGCGGCAGCGAACGUAUCACCCAAGACAACUUUACGGAGUUGACGAUUGACGGAGCGAAGCGACGUCAAAGCGUUCAUUAAAGUCGAGUUGGCUUAGGGAUACGUUCGUUGGGUAGGGGAGCGUUCUGUAAGCCUGUGAAGGUGUGUCGUGAGGCAUGCUGGAGGUAUCAGAAGUGCGAAUGCUGACAUAAGUAACGAUAAAGCGGGUGAAAAGCCCGCUCGCCGGAAGACCAAGGGUUCCUGUCCAACGUUAAUCGGGGCAGGGUGAGUCGACCCCUAAGGCGAGGCCGAAAGGCGUAGUCGAUGGGAAACGGGUUAAUAUUCCCGUACUUGGUGUUACUGCGAAGGGGGGACGGAGAAGGCUAUGUUGGCCGGGCGACGGUUGUCCCGGUUUAAGCGUGUAGGUGUGUGUUCCAGGUAAAUCCGGUU